GAUGAACGCUGGCGGCGUGCCUAAUACAUGCAAGUCGAGCGAACAGACGAGGAGCUUGCUCCUCUGACGUUAGCGGCGGACGGGUGAGUAACACGUGGAUAACCUACCUAUAAGACUGGGAUAACUUCGGGAAACCGGAUCUAAUACCGGAUAAUAUAUUGAACCGCAUGGUUCAAUAGUGAAAGACGGUUUUGCUGUCACUUAUAGAUGUAUCCGCGCCGCAUUAGCUAGUUGGUAAGGUAACGGCUUACCAAGGCAACGAUGCGUAGCCGACCUGAGAGGGUGAUCGGCCACACUGGAACUGAGACACGGUCCAGACUCCUACGGGAGGCAGCAGUAGGGAAUCUUCCGCAAUGGGCGAAAGCCUGACGGAGCAACGCCGCGUGAGUGAUGAAGGUCUUCGGAUCGUAAAACUCUGUUAGUAGGGAAGAACAAAUGUGUAAGUAACUAUGCACGUCUUGACGGUACCUAAUCAGAAAGCCACGGCUAACUACGUG
rnacentral:rRNA from 1 species